AGCCCAAUGGGGUAAUUGGUGCGGUACGCCGCCCAUGACUGGAAACCUACAGGCAAAGACAAAUCGAGUGUUGCGGGAUUACGGGUACGGCCGAUGGCGCAAGCCUUCGUCGGACCCCUCCAUCCCAGGGUGUCCCGUCCGGGUGCUUGCACCCAGCGGACAUCCCCGGAGUGCGUAGGAUGUGACCCGAAAGAUGGUGAACUAUGCCUGAUCAGGUUGAAGUCAGGGGAAACCCUGAUGGAGGACCGAAGCAAUUCUGACGUGCAAAUCGAUUGUCAGAGUUUAUAAGGGGCCGAAAGACC
rnacentral:rRNA from 1 species